AAUAAUAAACACUUUAAGAAGAUGAAAUUGUUCGCAAAUUAAACGGAAAAUAUUUUUUAAAGUAUAGUUAAAGUAAGUUGUUCCUAUAAUAUAUAUAUUAUGUCUUACAGUAGAACACUUUAAGUCAAAAUGUCAAAAUUCGCUUUUUAAAUGUUAUGCCGGCUAAAGGAGCUCAGUGAAUAUUCGUUAUUUUUACAGCAGUCCGUGAAAGACGAAGUAGAUGCACAAUGGGUGUUCAGUUUAUAUACAACAAAAGAUUUGGAGAACUUGUUUGAAUUUCUGAGCACGCCCUUCUCUAUAAGGAGGGGUGGACUAUUCUGCGGCCAGUCCCCCAAAACUAGCUCACUCUUAGCUCAACACUUCACUUUUCAAUUUGUUGCGGAAGACAAAUGAGCUGUUGGGAAGUUUUUUUUUCUUUUCUUUCCUUUUUUAAAUCGCUUCUUCUUUCUCGCCAUCAUGUGGUUGGAAUAUGUUUCUGCUUAACUCGAUGCAACUGAACCAAGCGAAAUGAACAAAAAAUUAGCGGCAAUUUUAAAUGAGGUCCAGACGAGGGAUGGCUGGAUAUUCCCGAGGAGUCCAGAGAGAGCCUUACACAUGUUUGAAGAACUUGAUUUUUGGAUGUUUUGCGACGUGGGGAGUGUUCCAGUAUAAUCAGCUGUUUACAGUAUACUGUCACAUGGCAUACAUUUGAUUGUAGGGAAGAGGGCGCGAUGACUGCAGCCUAACAACUGGAAGAUGUGAAAUGGAGCUGCCUGGAAAACCUCAGCGCUGCAGCAAGUGAGGUGGAGAUCUCCUGCAGGUGACACAACGGCAGAAAUGACUCCGACAGCAGCGAGUCUGAUGGACACUAAGUGUGAUGUUGGAUUCCUGCAGAAGCCUAGACAUUUACAUUCUACUGGGCCUCGUGUCACUGAAUGCUGUGAAAUAUAAAACAUACUCUUGUAUAGAUUACAUAAUUAUUUCAGUAUGAGCUUAUGUAAAUAAAU